rnacentral:rRNA from 1 species
UACGUAGGGGGCAAGCGUUGUCCGGAUUUAUUGGGCGUAAAGAGCGUGUAGGCGGCCAGACAGGUCUGCUGUGAAAACUCGAGGCUCAACCUCGAGACGCCGGUGGAAACCGUCUGGCUAGAGUCCGGAAGAGGAGAGUGGAAUUCCUGGUGUAGCGGUGAAAUGCGCAGAUAUCAGGAGGAACACCGAUGGCGAAGGCAGAUCUCUGGGCCGUAACUGACGCUGAGGAGCGAAAGCAUGGGGAGCGAACAGG